rnacentral:rRNA from 1 species
GACGAACGCUGGCGGCGCGCUUAACACAUGCAAGUCGAGCGAGAACCAGUCCUUCGGGACUGGGGACAGCGGCGAACGGGUGAGUAACACGUGGGUAAUCUGCCCUCGGCACCGGAAUAGCCCGGGGAAACCCGGAUUAAUGCCGGAUGGCCUCACUGCCCCUCGGGGCGGCGAGAAAAGGUAGCUUCGGCCUCCGGCCGAGGAUGAGCCCGCGGCCGAUUAGCUUGUUGGUGGGGUAACGGCUCACCAAGGCGACGAUCGGUAGCUGGUCUGAGGGUACGAUCAGCCACACUGGAACUGAGACACGGCCCAGACUCCUACGGGGGGCAGCAGUGGGGGAUCUUGCGCAAUGGGCGAAAGCCUGACGCAGCGACGCCGCGUGCGGGAAGAAGGCCUUCGGGUUGUAAACCGCUUUCAGGAGGGACGAAGCCACUCGGGUUAAUAGCCUAGAGGGUGACGGUACCUCCAGAAGAAGCCCCGGCUAACUACGUGCCAGCCGCCGCGGUAACAC